AAGCAAGUCAUUUAGAUACUGGAGGGGAUGGAUCCUGAGAGUAUCCAGCAUGCUGCCCUCUCUCUAGGGUUAUAUCUAGAAGGAUGGGAGUGGACAAUAAGACCGUCAGAUUUCAUACGAGUUUGGGAUCUGAAGGUAGAGACCUGCCCCACUUCCCAUCAGUCAUCUGGAGUAACAUGGUACCCAUGGCAUAGGGCUGCCCAGGCAUCUUUGGUGGCAGAGGGACCUAAGUAGACCCAGAGAGCUUCUAGGGGAUGUAGGAUGUUAUAGGAGAGCAGCUAACAUUUCCCAUAACCCUGAGAAGGGCAUGGAAGUCAGAUGGGAGAAAGCUGGGGAACUGAGGGCAUCUCAUGGUUGGAACAAGGGGACCCAUGAGUCUUGCCAGAGACCACAUGGAAGCUCAAACAUCUUGGGAGUAGCCAGGGAGGAAGGAUGCUGUGCCCAGAACCAUGACGACAUCCAUGUUCCAUCAGCCCACCACCACCGAAACAGAGAUGAGACCCUGGCGAGAAGGUGGGAAUGGGACUGCAGAAAGGAACAUUUCAGAAGUAAGUAAAUUUUAACCUAAAAUGACCACAUUUCUCAGAAAUUGACCAGCAUGAUUUUUGCUGCCAGCCAAAUGGAGGUUAAAGGUAGAGACCAGGGAUGUAAUACAGUCACUACACAGAAGCCCCUAGGAAGACAGGACUCAGUGUAGAAGAGAACUCCCUCAUAAAAGGAGUGACAUCUGGGUCAGGUCUUAAGGGUGAGAUGGGGAAGGACAUUCUAGGCAGAGGCAGCAGCAAGUUCAAAGCCAUGAGGAGCCUGGCUCGACCAGAGAACAGCGUGUGGUCCAGCGUGGGUGGAACAGAAGGUGGGAGGUGAGAGGUGUUUCAUGUUCCACUUAUGCAGCCAAGAAACAAUAUUCAAGACAAGUCAAAUUCCCUGAUUCCUGUCGUGUUUCAGGGACACAGCUCACCUUCCCCUAUGUGUGUACUUGGUCCAAACCACAGGGCCAGACGGGGAGCCAACGCCACCUCUCACGGCGAUGCAGAGCCAGCUGAGAGGAGCCAGCUGGGAGAAGUUUCUUGGAGGACAGACAUGCUUCCUGGGCCAAGAAAUAUCAGGAAGAAGCCAAGGAGGGGAGGGCUGGACAGCACAGCCAGCAAGACUGGUCCAUUGACCCAUUCCAGCCUGUCAUGAGAUGCCUGAGACGCUGACCCUCCGCCCAGAGCUGGCCAAAUCUCUGCAGAUGCAAAGCCAACUCCCAGGGCUUUACCACUUUGAGACUUUGACCGCCCAUCCUUCCUGCCCCUGGCCCAGCCCACCCUCCUCCGUGCACAGAGAUGAACGUUCAGCAUGUUCUCUCCCACACUUGACCUAAUCGCUUUGCUAUGGAGACUUCCCCGACCCAGCAAGCAGCCCCACGCCUUCCUGCUGUGCUCUGAUUGAGAACAGGCCCAAGCUAUCCAGGCCUUCCAACAACCUUAACCUCUUCCUCCCCAGACCCAGGCAAUCAGGAAUGGUGGGGAGGAGAGACUUGAAGCAUCUAAGUGACUCAACAGAGAAUGUAAUUAUGAUAUCCAGUCAAUUGGCUCUUGUUCUGAAGGAAUGAUGACACCGUACCCAGGCAAGCAGGGAGGAGAUGGGCAUAAGAUGAGAUGGGAGAGGCCAUGUCAUGCCUUGUAUUGCAGGCCACGAUGAGGAGCUGGGGGUUUCAGUCAUAUUGCAAUAGGAUGCCCUUGAAUCAUGGGUUUAUUAUAGGAGUUAGACCUUAUGUCCUUGUGGGAAAAGCUGGUGAGGUAACACCUGUAAGGAUCACUGGAAGAUCAGAAAGAUGUCACAGUGGAAACGAUGAAAAAAAUCUACGGAAGGCUGUUCUUUGUGUGUAGUGGUAAACCUGGGUCAGCCAGGGCAGGCUACAAAGAAAAGCUUGACACGAAGUGGGAAAAAGCAAACAUGAAUGGAGACCCAGGAAGCCACAGCAAAACCCAUGAGGACAAAUUGGAACCUGUCUGUCUUUCAUACAUCUGGAGUGACCUACAGAAGACGUCUGUGGGCUGGGUGCGGGUGGCUGACGCCUGUAAUCUCAGCACUUUGGGAGAGUGAGGCAGGAGGACUGCUUGAGCCCAAAUGUUCAAGACCAGCCUGGUUAACAUGGAGAAACCCAAUCCCUACAAAAAAAUACAAAAAUUAGCCGGGCAUGGUGGUGUGUGCGUGUAGUCCCAGCUACUCAGGAGGCUGAGAAGUGAGAAGAUUGUUUGAGCCCAAGAGGUCGAGGCUGCAGUGAGCUAUGAUUGUACCACUGCACUCCAGCCUGGGCAAUAGAGUCCCUGUAUCCAAAAAAUUUAAAAAUUUAAAAAACCCUCAGAGCUGCAAAUGUAGGAGGUCCAAUGUGAGGAGCAGGAGCUGUCGGUCUGACUGGCCUCAGGCAGAUGAGGCCAUGGGGAUGGGGACAGAUGCAGCUGUGGUGGCAUCUAGAGCCUGCACCCAUCUUCCAAAUGUAACAGCUGCUGCUGCUGUCUGUCUCUUUCCAAAUCUUGCACAAGUUACUCCUGUGGCCAGCCCUGACCUGGACACACAAAGGGGAGGGAAUUCUG
rnacentral:lncRNA from 1 species